rnacentral:rRNA from 1 species
GAUGAACGCUGGCGGCGUGCCUAAUACAUGCAAGUCGAGCGAACGGACGAGAAGCUUGCUUUUCUGAUGUUAGCGGCGGACGGGUGAGUAACACGUGGAUAACCUACCUAUAAGACUGGGAUAACUUCGGGAAACCGGAGCUAAUACCGGAUAAUAUUUUGAACCGCAUGGUUCUAAAGUGAAAGACGGUCUUGCUGUCACUUAUAGAUGGAUCCGCGCUGCAUUAGCUAGUUGGUAAGGUAACGGCUUACCAAGGCAACGAUGCAUAGCCGACCCGAGAGGGUGAUCGGCCACACUGGAACUGAGACACGGUCCAGACUCCUACGGGAGGCAGCAGUAGGGAAUCUUCCGCAAUGGGCGAAAGCCUGACGGAGCAACGCCGCGUGAGUGAUGAAGGUCUUCGGAUCGUAAAACUCUGUUAUUAGGGAAGAACAUAUGUGUAAGUAACUGUGCACAUCUUGACGGUACCUAAUCAGAAAGCCACGGCUAACUACGUG